AACAGGAUUAGAUACCCUGGUAGUCCACGCUGUAAACGAUGUCGACUUGGAGGUUGUGCCCUUGAGGCGUGGCUUCCGGAGCUAACGCGUUAAGUCGACCGCCUGGGGAGUACGGCCGCAAGGUUAAAACUCAAAUGAAUUGACGGGGGCCCGCACAAGCGGUGGAGCAUGUGGUUUAAUUCGAUGCAACGCGAAGAACCUUACCUACUCUUGACAUCCAGAGAACUUAGCAGAGAUGCUUUGGUGCCUUCGGGAACUCUGAGACAGGUGCUGCAUGGCUGUCGUCAGCUCGUGUUGUGAAAUGUUGGGUUAAGUCCCGCAACGAGCGCAACCCUUAUCCUUUGUUGCCAGCGGUUAGGCCGGGAACUCAAAGGAGACUGCCAGUGAUAAACUGGAGGAAGGUGGGGAUGACGUCAAGUCAUCAUGGCCCUUACGAGUAGGGCUACACACGUGCUACAAUGGCAUAUACAAAGAGAAGCGACCUCGCGAGAGCAAGCGGACCUCAUAAAGUAUGUCGUAGUCCGGAUUGGAGUCUGCAACUCGACUCCAUGAAGUCGGAAUCGCUAGUAAUCGUGGAUCAGAAUGCCACGGUGAAUACGUUCCCGGGCCUUGUACACACCGCCCGUCACACCAUGGGAGUGGGUUGCAAAAGAAGUAGGUAGCUUAACCUUCGGGAGGGCGCUUACCACUUUGUGAUUCAUGACUGGGGUGAAGUCGUAACAAGGUAACC
rnacentral:rRNA from 1 species